rnacentral:rRNA from 1 species
UACGUAGGGUGCAAGCGUUGUCCGGAAUUAUUGGGCGUAAAGAGCUCGUAGGCGGUUCGUCGCGUCGGCUGUGAAAACCCGGAGCUCAACUCCGGGCCUGCAGUCGAUACGGGCGGACUAGAGUUCGGCAGGGGAGACUGGAAUUCCUGGUGUAGCGGUGGAAUGCGCAGAUAUCAGGAGGAACACCGGUGGCGAAGGCGGGUCUCUGGGCCGAUACUGACGCUGAGAAGCGAAAGCAUGGGGAGCGAACAGG